rnacentral:rRNA from 1 species
UUGUAGUCUGCAACUCGACUACAUGAAGCUGGAAUCGCUAGUAAUCGCGGAUCAGAAUGCCGCGGUGAAUACGUUCCCGGGUCUUGUACACACCGCCCGUCACACCAUGGGAGUCGGAAAUGCCCGAAGUCUGUGACCCAACCGAAAGGAGGGAGCAGCCGAAGGCAGGUCGGAUGACUGGGGUGAAGUCGUAACAAGGUACC